rnacentral:rRNA from 1 species
CUUUCCCUCUUUCUUCCUGCUUUACACAUGCAAGUCGAACGGUAACAGCACUUCGGUGGCUGACGAGUGGCGAACGGGUGAGUAAUACAUCGGAACGUGCCUAGUAGUGGGGGAUAACUACUCGAAAGAGUAGCUAAUACCGCAUGAGAUCUAAGGAUGAAAGCAGGGGACCUUCGGGCCUUGCGCUACUAGAGCGGCUGAUGGCAGAUUAGGUAGUUGGUGGGAUAAAAGCUUACCAAGCCGACGAUCUGUAGCUGGUCUGAGAGGACGACCAGCCACACUGGGACUGAGACACGGCCCAGACUCCUACGGGAGGCAGCAGUGGGGAAUUUUGGACAAUGGGCGCAAGCCUGAUCCAGCAAUGCCGCGUGCAGGAUGAAGGCCUUCGGGUUGUAAACUGCUUUUGUACGGAACGAAAAGCCCUCUUCUAAUACAGGAGGGUCAUGACGGUACCGUAAGAAUAAGCACCGGCUAACUACGUG